rnacentral:rRNA from 1 species
GCGGCCCCCUGGACAAGACUGACGCUCAGGUGCGAAAGCGUGGGGAGCAAACAGGAUUAAAUACCCUGGUAGUCCACGCUGUAAACGAUGUCGACUUGGAGGUUGUGCCCUUGAGGCGUGGCUUCCGGAGCUAACGCGUUAAGUCGACCGCCUGGGGAGUACGGCCGCAAGGUUAAAACUCAAAUGAAUUGACGGGGGCCCGCACAAGCGGUGGAGCAUGUGGUUUAAUUCGAUGCAACGCGAAGAACCUUACCUGGCCUUGACAUCCACGGGAUCUGGCAGAGAUGCCGGAGUGCCUUCGGGAACCGUGAGACAGGUGCUGCAUGGCUGUCGUCAGCUCGUGUUGUGAAAUGUUGGGUUAAGUCCCGCAACGAGCGCAACCCUUAUCCCUUGUUGCCAUCGGGUGAAGCCGGGAACUCAAAGGAGACUGCCGGUGACAAACCGGAGGAAGGUGGGGAUGACGUCAAGUCAUCAUGGCCCUUACGGCCAGGGCUACACACGUGCUACAAUGGCGCAUACAAAGAGAAGCGACCUCGCGAGAGCAAGCGGACCUCAUAAAGUG